GAACUUAAGCAUAUCAAUAAGCGGAGGAAAAGAAACCAACAGGGAUUGCCCUAGUAACGGCGAGUGAAGCGGCAACAGCUCAAAUUUGAAAUCUGGCUCUUUUAGGGUCCGAGUUGUAAUUUGCAGAGGGCGCUUUGGCUUUGGCAGCGGUCCAAGUUCCUUGGAACAGGACGUCACAGAGGGUGAGAAUCCCGUACGUGGUCGCUAGCUAUUGCCGUGUAAAGCCCCUUCGACGAGUCGAGUUGUUUGGGAAUGCAGCUCUAAAUGGGAGGUAAAUUUCUUCUAAAGCUAAAUAUUGGCCAGAGACCGAUAGCGCACAAGUAGAGUGAUCGAAAGAUGAAAAGCACUUUGGAAAGAGAGUCAAACAGCACGUGAAAUUGUUGAAAGGGAAGCGCUUGCAGCCAGACUUGCUUGCAGUUGCUCAUCUGGGCUUUUGUCCGGUGCACUCUUCUGUAGGCAGGCCAGCAUCAGUUUGGGCGGUGGGAUAAAGGUCUCUGUCACGUACCUCUCUUCGGGGAGGCCUUAUAGGGGAGACGACAUACCACCAGCCUAGACUGAGGUCCGCGCAUCUGCUAGGAUGCUGGCGUAAUGGCUGUAAGCGGCCCGUCUUGAAACACGGACCAAGGAGUCUAACAUCUAUGCGAGUGUUUGGGUGUCAAGCCCGAGCGCGUAAUGAAAGUGAACGGAGGUGGGAACCCGCAAGGGUGCACCAUCGACCGAUCCUGAAGUUUUCGGAAGGAUUUGAGUAAGAGCAUGGCUGUUGGGACCCGAAAGAUGGUGAACUAUGCUUGAAUAGGGUGAAGCCAGAGGAAACUCUGGUGGAGGCUCGCAGCGGUUCUGACGUGCAAAUC
rnacentral:rRNA from 1 species